AGGAGAUUAAGAUCGCAUGAAGCAAACAAGACACCUUGACCCGAUUCCUUGCACCAUCAACAGUCCCCUUGGGAAACUGGGAAUUGAUGAGGCAUCCACCUGACAAGCACAAUCACAUGCCUGUGUGCGAAGAUGGCGGCGUGAAUUCUCAUCUGCGGCGGCCUCACCCAGUACCAUCCAUGCAGUGUCUUUGUCCACAUCUGCAUCUAAGUUUUGUCUUCAUUUGAUGGCUGGGAGAGCUGGCACUGAG